rnacentral:rRNA from 1 species
GACGGAGGAUGCAAGAGUUAUCCGGAAUUAUUGGGCGUAAAGGGUGCGUAGGUGGCCUGACAAGUCCCAUGUCAAAGCAUGGUGCUUAACGCCAUAAAGGCGUGGGAAACUGUCAGACUAGAGUACAGCAGGGGCAGGAGGAAUUCCCGGUGUAGCGGUGAAAUGCGUAGAUAUCGGGAAGAACACCAGUGGCGCAAGCGUUCUGCUGGGCUGUAACUGACACUGAGGCACGAAAGCUAGGGGAGCGAAAGGG